GUGUAAUAUUCAUCACAAGAGAACAUAUUGUCAAUCUGUCCUGAAUUAUCAUGGAAAAUCUCACUAGGGUGUGGGAUGGACCAUUUCUUGGAAGACAAACUAGAAGAUCCAUGUUCAAGAUUGAUAUCCUGGUAAAGAGGCAGAACUAGUUUUGGUGCAAAAACUGCCUUCACUACAAUAAUGGAUGACCUGUGCUCAGAGAAGGCAUGGGGGAGCACAACCUGGCUGAGUCUCUGGACCUCUUGUACGCAUUGUUAUUCUUCCAGAAAGUUUGAGUUGGGAUCCAAGAUGAGGAAGUGGAAGUGGAAAAUCAAAGUCUGGGAUAAUAGACUGGAUAGGAGCCAAUAGACUGAAGCUCAAUCAAGAUGGAAGUACUGUUGGUUACAAAUGGAUGGGAAAGUUGCUUAUGGAGAUUGGUUGGCUGCUUUCUUCUACCUCACAAAGAUGGUGCUGAGAGAGGUGGCAUUACGCAUAGCUAUAGGGAAUGGGAGACCAGGCACAAACUCCGGUUGCACUUGUAUUGCCUCAGUUCCAUCAGGACAAUUGGUGAGGGUAGGCUAUUUAAGGACUCCAUCCCUUUGACUAACUCCUUUGGUGGCUGCAGCACCCACUUUCUCUCCCUAGAAGAUUAUUCCCAAUAGCAGUAUGGGAAUAUUGGGGUCAAGUAGGCUUUCCCCCACAUUGACCCAAAUUGGUUGCAGCAAUUAAGUGUGUUUUCUCUCUCUCUCUCUCUCUCUCUCUCUCUCUCUCUCUCUCACACACACACACACACACACAC